UGCACAGUGAGCUUGUGAUCUUUAGUUUCUGUGUUGAGAUGGUUGCAGACUGCUGCAGCUGGUUUUACUGAUGUAGGCAGGAGGGCACACGGAGCUGCUGCUGACACAGGGCAGUCCUGAGGAAACAGGGCGGCUACUUCGAGACCUGGAAAGCAGAGCUGUGCUGACGUUAAAUUAAGACAUUUAGCCUUGGUUUGAACUCUCAGGAAGAUUUCUAUUCCCUCACUGUCCACUUGUUUUUGCAGCAGCAGCAGCUCCGCUGUGGAAGUGUGAAACCUUUACCACACAAAACUAAUGUGAAGCAGGACACGAAGGCAGAGGCCGUGGUAUACAGCGUGACCUUCAUUGGCUGGGAGAACCUGGAAGAAAUGGUAGAAUUCACCUUAGAAGAACCUUGGAAUGGAUUUGGAUUCCUGUUGCUGCCUGGGGCUGAAACUGUUAUUUAAUCAGACCUGCUUAACACCUUUAGACUACAGCCUGCCUGGGAAUUUAUUACCACAUGGAACCUGUGUAAAGUAAUGUGGCAGUCCUAAUGGCCAAAUAGAAUAAUAAAAUACUGAUGUUC